rnacentral:tmRNA from 1 species
GGGGAUGUAAAGGCUUCGACGGGGUCGCGGAGACUCAGGGAGCGAGCCGCAGCGGGUACUGCGAUAGAAACCCAACUUUUUAAAAUUAAACGCUAACAAUAAUUUAGCUUACGCUGCCUAAUUAACGCAGCUGCCUUCCCGCAAUUACCGCGGUUGCGGAUUAAGGUAUCAUCAAAGCGGUGAACGCGAGUGAAGAAAGCUUUGACUUCACCGGGAAUCAAUGAAGCUACCGGCGUUUUUGGCUUGCCUGUGAGCCAAAAACAGUCGGGAAUAUAAAUCACAGGCUACGCUCGUAGCGCCCUGUGGGGACGCUUCUUCGGACAGGGGUUCAAUUCCCCUCAUCUCCACCA